rnacentral:rRNA from 1 species
UACGUAGGGUGCAAGCGUUAAUCGGAAUUACUGGGCGUAAAGCGUGCGCAGGCGGCUUUGCAAGACAGAUGUGAAAUCCCCGGGCUUAACCUGGGAACUGCAUUUGUGACUGCAUCGCUGGAGUGCGGCAGAGGGGGAUGGAAUUCCGCGUGUAGCAGUGAAAUGCGUAGAUAUGCGGAGGAACACCGAUGGCGAAGGCAAUCCCCUGGGCCUGCACUGACGCUAAUGCACGAAAGCGUGGGGAGCAAACAGG